UGAGGAAUAUUGGUCAAUGGACGCAAGUCUGAACCAGCCAAGUAGCGUGCAGGAUGACGGCCCUAUGGGUUGUAAACUGCUUUUAUAUGGGGAUAAAGUGGGGAACGUGUUCCCUUUUGCAGGUACCAUAUGAAUAAGGACCGGCUAAUUCCGUGCCAGCAGCCGCGGUAAUACGGAAGGUCCAGGCGUUAUCCGGAUUUAUUGGGUUUAAAGGGAGUGUAGGCGGUUGGUUAAGCGUGUUGUGAAAUGUAGAUGCUCAACAUCUGACUUGCAGCGCGAACUGGCUGACUUGAGUACACACAACGUAGGCGGAAUUCAUGGUGUGGCGGUGAAAUGCUUAGAUAUCAUGAGGAACUCCGAUGGCGAAGGCAGCUUACGGGAGUGUUACUGACGCUUAGGCUGGAAGGUGCGGGUAUCAAACAGG
rnacentral:rRNA from 1 species